rnacentral:rRNA from 1 species
GAUGAACGCUAGCGGCAGGCCUAAUACAUGCAAGUCGAGGGGUAACAUAACGCUUCGGUGUUGAUGACGACCGGCGAACGGGUGCGUAACGCGUAUGCAAUCUACCUACAGCAGAGGGAUAGCCCGUGGAAACAUGGAUUAAUACCUCAUAAUACAGGGGUCCCGCAUGGGGAUAUUGUUAAAGAUUUAUCGGCUGUAGAUGGGCAUGCGUCCCAUUAGCUAGUUGGUACGGUAACGGCGUACCAAGGCGACGAUGGGUAGGGGUUCUGAGAGGAUGAUCCCCCACACUGGUACUGAGAUACGGACCAGACUCCUACGGGAGGCAGCAGUAGGGAAUAUUGGUCAAUGGACGGAAGUCUGAACCAGCCAUGCCGCGUGCAGGAAGACGGCCUUCUGGGUUGUAAACUGCUUUUAUCAGGGAAGAAAAAGGUCUUGCGAGACCAAUUGCCGGUACCUGAAGAAUAAGCACCGGCUAACUCCG